rnacentral:rRNA from 1 species
CGUAGGGCGCAAGCGUUGUCCGGAAUUAUUGGGCGUAAAGAGCUCGUAGGCGGUUUGUCGCGUCUGCUGUGAAAACCUCAGGCUCAACCUGGGGCUUGCAGUGGGUACGGGGCAGACUAGAGUGCGGUAGGGGUGACUGGAAUUCCUGGUGUAGCGGUGGAAUGCGCAGAUAUCAGGAGGAACACCCGAUGGCGAAGGCAGGUCACUGG